rnacentral:rRNA from 1 species
GUCUACGGCCAUUCCACCCUGAACGCGCCCGAUCUCGUCUGAUCUCGGAAGCUAAGCAGGGUUGGGCCUGGUUAGUACUUGGAUGGGAGAAAUAGGAGGUGAGUUUGUUGCUGCAGGGA